rnacentral:rRNA from 1 species
GACGUAGGGUGCAAGCGUUGUCCGGAUUUAUUGGGCGUAAAGAGCUCGUAGGCGGUUUGUCGCGUCUGCUGUGAAAUCCCGAGGCUCAACCUCGGGUCUGCAGUGGGUACGGGCAGGCUAGAGUUCGGUAGGGGAGACUGGAAUUCCUGGUGUAGCGGUGAAAUGCGCAGAUAUCAGGAGGAACACCGGUGGCGAAGGCGGGUCUCUGGGCCGAUAUUGACGCUGAGGAGCGAAAGCGUGGGGAGCGAACGGG